GGAGGAUACCGCUGAAUGGUCGGCAACUGGUCUUGAAAACCAGGGUAGUCCUUGGGCUAGGGGUGUUUCCUUCGGAAACGCUCCGCGAACGAUUCCUCUAUCCUCCGCCA
rnacentral:tRNA from 1 species